GCCCUUCGUGCCAGCAGCCGCGGUAAUACGGAGGGUGCGAGCGUUAAUCGGAAUGACUGGGCGUAAAGGGCAUGUAGGCGGAUAAUUAAGUUAGGUGUGAAAGCCCUGGGCUCAACCUAGGAAUUGCACUUAAAACUGGUUAACUAGAGUAUUGUAGAGGAAGGUAGAAUUCCACGUGUAGCGGUGAAAUGCGUAGAGAUGUGGAGGAAUACCGGUGGCGAAGGCGGCCUUCUGGACAGAUACUGACGCUGAGAUGCGAAAGCGUGGGGAGCAAACAGGAUUAGAUACCCUGGUAGUCCACGCUGUAAACGAUGUCGAUUUGGAGUUUGUUGCCUAGAGUGAUGGGCUCCGAAGCUAACGCGAUAAAUCGACCGCCUGGGGAGUACGGCCGCAAGGUUAAAACUCAAAUGAAUUGACGGGGGCCCGCACAAGCGGUGGAGCAUGUGGUUUAAUUCGAUGCAACGCGAAGAACCUUACCUGGUCUUGACAUCCACAGAAUCUUGCAGAGAUGNGAGNGUGCCUUCGGGAACUGUGAGACAGGUGCUGCAUGGCUGUCGUCAGCUCGUGUUGUGAAAUGUUGGGUUAAGUCCCGCAACGAGCGCAACCCUUAUCCUUUGUUGCCAUCGGUUCGGCCGGGAACUCAAAGGAGACUGCCGUUGAUAAAGCGGANGAAGGUGGGGACGACGUCAAGUCAUCAUGGCCCUUACGACCAGGGCUACACACGUGCUACAAUGGCGUAUACAAAGGGAGGCGACCUCGCGAGAGCAAGCGGACCUCAUAAAGUACGUCUAAGUCCGGAUUGGAGUCUGCAACUCGACUCCAUGAAGUCGGAAUCGCUAGUAAUCGUGAAUCAGAAUGUCACGGUGAAUACGUUCCCGGGCCUUGUACACACCGCCCGUCACACCAUGGGAGUGGGUUGCACCAGAAGUAGAUAGCUUAACCGCGAGGGGGGCGUUUACCACGGUGUGGUCCAUGACUGGGGUGAAGUCGUAACAAGGGCGAA
rnacentral:rRNA from 1 species